rnacentral:rRNA from 1 species
CCAGAGAACUUUCCAGAGAUGGAUUGGUGCCUUCGGGAACUCUGAGACAGGUGCUGCAUGGCUGUCGUCAGCUCGUGUUGUGAAAUGUUGGGUUAAGUCCCGCAACGAGCGCAACCCUUUAUCCUUUGUUGCCAGCGGUUAGGCCGGGAACUCAAAGGAGACUGCCAGUGAUAAACUGGAGGAAGGUGGGGAUGACGUCAGGUCAUCAUGGCCCUUACGAGUAGGGCUACACACGUGCUACAAUGGCGCAUACAAAGAGAAGCGACCUCGCGAGAGCAAGCGGACCUCAUAAAGUGCGUCGUAGUCCGGAUUGGAGUCUGCAACUCGACUCCAUGAAGUCGGAAUCGCUAGUAAUCGUGGAUCAGAAUGCCACGGUGAAUACGUUCCCGGGCCUUGUACACACCGCCCGUCACACCAUGGGAGUGGGUUGCAAAAGAAGUAGGUAGCUUAACCUUCGGGAGGGCGCUUACCACUUUGUGAUUCAUGACUGGGGUGAAGUCGUAACAAGGUAAGCGUAGUGCU